rnacentral:lncRNA from 1 species
UAAUGAUUCAGCAAUUCUCUGCAUUACUCAGUGCUCAUCAUGAUAAGUGUACUCCUUAAUGCCUAUCACAUAUUUUACCCAUCCUACCACUCAUCUCCCCUCUGGGACUGCUACUGAAGCAGGUGAAUACAGUACAAUGGGCUCCCCAGACUAAAACUCCAGCCCUGACUUGGUCC